CACCUGCCAGUGAAAUCUCCACCAUGGAGUUAUCCUUUAAAUAUUCUCUAUCGAGACUGAAUUCUGGGGAACAGGAAAAUGGAAGCUUGCACAGAGGAGGAUGAAUCUCCACUGCUUUUCUAUUGUUUUUUCUUUCCAGGGAUUAAAGAGGGAAAACUGACCUGAGUACUUUGAACUGAUCUCUAUGGGAGCCAAUCUCGUUUUUAUGACCACGGAUUGAGAGAGAGAGAGAGAAUACUUUAAGUCCCUUAACACUUUGUUGAACAAGAUUCUUAAAGAAGAGAGAUUAUGAACACACCACACAACUACUGAUUGAUCAUCACUUGAAUUAAAUCAAUAUUUCUUUAAGGAGUGGCCAGUAGCUGUCAGCCCUAUAGACUCUCCUGAGGAAGGAACACGUCGUUGGUGUUUCAGCUGAUUCUAGAUUCACUGGGACAAGGAGAAGGAGAGCACACAGCCUGACCCACAGCAAUGCCUUAUCACAGCACUGGCAUAAAGUCAUGGAGAGUGGCUGCAGGCAGGUAAGUUAGCCCAGCAAAAUGCUGCCUUUGGUUAUUCUGCUUUCUGUCAGGAUUGUAUAAAAUCACCAGCAUAUAACCUGGAGGCACUUCCUGGAAGGGCAUAGAUUCCCUACAGAUGUGAAGCAGUGCUUUAUAAGGAAUUGGUAUCAGUAUGUGAACUGCUUUUCUGCCCCAUCUAGCUCCACUCUGUUUGGCUGCAUAAUAACAUACUUAUCUUCAGUACCAAAAGGCAGUGAGAGGGAAUUCUUGUUUGUGGCACAUUUAUAAGCAUGUUGCCAGCGAGUUUGGGGCUAGAAGAUGAGCUGGGGCAAAACUGUGGUGGGUCUCCCAGGUUAGAGCUGGUUUGCUACUGCUGACCAAGCUGACACCUUACUGUGCCCAGAUCUGGGGUCAUGGCCUCAGGCUGAUAGAAGAUGCGGGAGGUACUCACUAUUCUCCUUUUCGAAGGAAACAAGUGUAAUAAUUUUAGCACUGAGAAGCAGCACUGUAGGGAACUCUUCCAUAUUCUUAGGUAAAACAACAAACGUCUCAGCUGAAAAGUGAGCAUGGUAAUGCUCCUUUUUGUGAAGGUCUGUGCAAGUCAGUUCAAUGUAAGCAACAUUUAGAAUAUGCGUUCGAAUCUCCAGUCUGUUUAAUGCAUCUUCUCAAAGAAUACAUUUAACAGAGAGGUAUGAUAUCCAAACACUCCUUCACCAGUGGGAAAACAAACCCACGUUAAUACAUGGAACUGGUUGUACAUCUUCAACAUUAGAUGAGCUGGGAACACAAGGACAAACAAACAUUAGCAUGCAAUUUAUGAUGCUAUGCUCAGGGACUGAAAGUAUGAGCCAUAAAGGAAUCAUACAACAUUUCAGUAUUAUCAUUUUAUGAUUUCUGUACCUUUCCCUUUCAACAGAUGCUGCUGCUCAUGUUCUCUAUUGUGCCUUUAGUUGCCUAUGAUGAAUAAGUGUGACAGUCCUGUAAAUCACAGCUGCUACACUGUGCAAUAUUUAAGAAGGCCCUUGUGACUUUCCUCUUUCCUUGAUAAAAAAUAAAUAAAUAAGGAAAGUUAUUAAAUGUUGAACACGGAAAAAAAAACAGCCUUCCAGGAAGGGACUGUGAAUAUGUUGGUUGUAGAAGGUUCUGCAAAAAUAUCUCUUGGCACAAAACUCCCAAACUGGAUGAUCUUUAAGGUCCUUUGCAAUCCAAACCAUUCUAUGAUUCUAAAUGUAAGCAGGU